UGAGUGUGAGAGAAUUGUCAAAUGUCAUGGUUUGGAAGCUGGCCAGUCAUUUUUCACACUAUACUGUUUGAAUGAGAAAGAAUCACUAAAUCUUAUUCUGUAGGGAAGGGUAUAGUUUUUCUGGGUAACACAGUCCCUCUUUCACUCACUGGCUGCCUCUAUUCCUUCCUCUUCUUGAGAUUGUUGGUGAGGGUCUUUCCAAAAAUUAGCUUACACCAAUUUUUUCCCCGUUGCUUUGAUAAGUAACUUGAUGAGCUUGAUGAGAAGCAGAAAGUAGAGCUCCUUUGAAAUUUUUUUUCUUACAAAAUUGGGUUAGAAGACAGGGUUAAAUCAACCAAAAGUUUGAAUAACCAUACUGAAAUCUCACUAUAACACUUUUUAGAUUUUAAUAUGAGAUAGAAUUAAAAUUUAUGGAUAUAAGAGAGACCAUAGGUUACACUAAUAUGAUUUUGUUUGCCAAGGUGAUUACACAACUCAAACCUCAGGUGUAUAUAAUAUUAAAAAGCUAGUGAGGUCCAUCUAUCUUUGGCUAACAGUCCCAUCUGUCCUUGGUAUAGAGUGGAGAAAAGCAGGUGACUUGACAUAAUAGGUAUAACAACCCCGAAUGAAUUUAAAGCUCACAGUACUUUUGGAAUCACCUUAAACUGUAUUAAACCUCUUUCUAUUCACUUAGGUGAAGAAAAAACAUCCCAGAACAGUUGCUCAGUUUUUUUCCCCUAUAGUUUUGAAAAGAAAAGAGCUGAUUUAGUCCUUCAUAUCUCUCUAAAAAGAAUCCUUUCUUCUUUGCAUCCUUAGAAAAAUAAGGAUCAUCUGACUUGCCUCUGAUCCCAAGAUCUAGGUCAGUCUCUUGGUGAAUUUUAGUUAGUUAGACAUUUUAAAAUGAAAUCAAAGGGUAUAAAUUUCCUUGAUUUGAGGACAUGUGGAUCCCUCUGAAACAUGAUUAACCCUACAAAACUUGGACAAAUCACUAAGCAUCUCUUUGCCUCAGUUUCCUACUCUUUUAGAGGAUUGGACAAGAUUACCUCUAUGGUCCCUUCUAGAUCUAAAUUUAUGAUUUGGUAAUUCUCUGGACUGAAGGUAGAAAGUCCCUGAUAAUUUGUUGCUUGGUCUGUCACUGACCCAUGCUGAGGGAAGAAAGCUGACUUUAGUGAAGAUGGCACAGACUGUGAGUUAUUUUUCAGUUGACUGGAAAUAGAAUUAGAAGAAACCUCUAGAAGACAUCUGACACUGAGCAUGUACAUAUCUAAACUGAUGGGCAUCUUUAGCUUCUCUUCUCUCCCUUCCCUCCCCACCAGCAAAAUAUAUUAUAGGUCCUAGUUGGACAAAUCACUAAGCAUCUCUUUGCCUCAGUUUCCUACUCUUUUAGAGGAUUGGACAAGAUUACCUCUAUGGUCCCUUCUAGAUCUAUAUUAUAGGUUCUAUAGAUUAUAUAGAUAUAGAUAUAUAGAUCUAUAUAUUAUAGGUUCCUAGUUGAGAAAAAAACAGAAGGGAACAUUUUAACCCAGGAAACUCCAAAGACUAGCUCCUGGAUUGCUUCUGUUGCAAGCACAGGAAAGAGAAAAUACUAAGGAUAGUAUGAUUCUCUUAAAGUCAUAGAUAAAAUCCAACAUUACUCAGUUCUUGCAUCUUAACUUCUGCCCCAGUGCCAAUGAAUUUAGAAUCUUAAUAAAUGGAGAGGAAAUACACAAUAUUUUUUCUUAAAAUGAGAUUUGGUUGGAUAUCUCUUAUUUUUACAUUGCCUAGACUUACCCCUGUGAGUAUUCUUCCUCCUUUUCCCAGAGAUCUAUCCCUUAUAAUGACGAUUUUUUUUUUAUUUAAAGGAAAGGAGGAAGAGAAAAAAAAAUCAGUAAAACAGAUCAAUAUAUAUAAAAAGAAAAAACUGAUGUUGUAUAUAAAGUUCCACAUCAUGGAUUUGAAUCUCUUACAAAGAAGCUGGGUGAGGUCUUUUUUCUCUAUCUCUAAAUUCUAUGGAAGGCUGGGUCUGGAACUGCAAAGACUACUAGAACAUCUACUAAACCUGGAUAGCUUCAGCUAUUGCUGACUCCUCUUCUGGCUGCUUGCAAUGAUACCAGGGGACAGAGGCUGCCCUUUCGUUUUGCUUCAAACUCUGCUCCUUAUUAUUCUGCUGAUUUGCCCCAUCAUAACUUGUGCCCCUGCUCAGUUAGGAAUAUCUCCAAUUAUUUUAUGGAAGGAAAUGGAAUUAUGUCACCAUUGACUAAGACUGAAGGUGACUUCAUUAAAGCACUUGUGCAUUUAUAGGCUAGAUGUAGAAUGCCAUGACUGACAGAACUGGAGCUAGCUCCAAACUCAAGAUAAGUUCUCUUAGGGGAACUUCCUCAAUGACUCUUAAAACUCAUAGAAUGCCAAUUAGAAGGAAUUUCACAGAUUAUUUAAUCGAAACCACAAUCAAACUCAAAUUCCUUCUACAAAAGAGGUUAUUCAGCUUCUACUUGAAGACAUCCAGAAGUGGCAAAUUCAUUACCUCCUAACCUAGCCAGUUUCAUUUUUAGAUGGCUCUAAAUAAUAGGAGUUCUUCCCUUUAAAUGAAUUGGAUUGAACUUUUUCUUUAUACUCUCUGCCCAUUACUUGCAGUUCUGUGGUCCAUACCUUCCCUUUCUCCACUUUUUCUUCAGGUAAAUCAUUCCUAGUUACUUCAACCGAGCCUUUCUAAGGCAUGAUUUUGAGUCCUUUCACCAUGCUGGGCGUAGUUUAGGCUGUCAGUGUCAUUCCUAAAAUAUAAUAUAAAAAACAACAAUCCAGAUAAGAUCUGACUAGAUUGCAUUAACUUUUUUGGUUGUCAUGUCACACUGUUGACUCAUAUUGAGUUUGUGAUAAAUGAAAACACCCACAUCUCUUCCCAUAUGAGCUAUUGCUUAACCAUCUUAUAUACUCAUGUAAAUGAAUUUUUGAACCCAAAUGUAGGAUUUUACAUUCAUUUAUCACUACAAAUUUUUUUGUUAAUUGAUUUGGCCCAUUGCUCAAGCUUGUCAGAAUCUUUUUGGAUUUAAUGUAUUUUCUAUUCCCUUUAACUUCCUGCCACAUAAAAAUUAUAACAUUUGGACUCUCAUUCAAGACACUGAUAAAAAAAAUAUUGAAUGGAAUAGGGUCAAGGACAGAACAAUGGAAUGUUACUGAAGAUUGACCUCUGAUCUGUCAACCAUCAUUUUUUUGGUGUAACCCUCACCUAGGUAGCCGGAUAGUUUACUCUCAGCCAAGAUCUUUCUAUCUUUUCUCAAGGAUAUCACAAGAAGCUUUGCCAAAUGCCUUGCUUGACCCAAGGCGAUUACAGAACAAAGUAAAACUUAUAGCACUAUAUACACUCUAGACAAUAUUUUUUUCCCAGAGGCAAUUGGGGUUAAAUUAGUUGCCCUUGGUCAAAGAACCAGGAAGACAAAUUAUUUUAACCCAUCAUUUUCCACUGAACUAUUAGUUGAAUAUCCAAAAAGGGCAACGAGGUUAGUCUGACAUCUCUUGCACUUAAUGGACCUUUUUAUGGCUUUCAGUAAUUACUCUUCUCCAAUUGCUCAGCUAAAUUCAUUUCUCCACUCUGCUGCAAACAAACCUUCUAUUUGAUAUCCUGGGUCUUUUGGAAUGUUGCUAAUAGUGAAGAAGGAAGAUAUAGCAUCAUCAACCCAGAGCUGAGAAAGAUCUAGGAAGCCAACCAGAAUAACCCUUUCUUUUGACAGAUAUGGAAACUGAGGUUAAGUGAUUUGUUCAGUGCCCACAGGCAGCACAGAUAGAAUUUGCGCCUGAGGUCCCUGAUGUCUUGCUCUUUCCACUGUAUUGUGAUUCCUCUCAGGAAUGUGAUACUUUCAACCUUGGCUUUUUUUUUAAAUUGGAACAAGGAUCACUCUCUUCCUCUACUAACUUGAAAAUAGUUUUCUGCUUGCUCAUAGCUGAGUGAUUAAGGCAUCUCUGUACUAAACAAUGACACCCAUCCUCCUGUUUUUCAGGAUAUAGCACUUGACAUUGGGUCAGAAAAUUAUUGAAUUGCAAAAAGAAGUUAAUUUUCCCUUUUCAGAAUGAAAAUGUCACUCCCUUUAAAAUCUUGCUUUCUGAGUUAAUUUUUAUUGCAGAUGAUAAAAAGAAACCACAAAGCUAAGCAUUUUUGAAAGACUUGUGAUUGACUUAUUGGAUUCUUUUUUAUUUGGCUUACUCUGGUCUAAGUAUAAAUAGAAAAAAAGAUCUUGUUUCAGUAAAUAGAGUUUUUUAAUAUUCAUUUGUAUAUGUAUGAGAGCUUGAGCCCUGGAGAGCCUUGGUUUGAGUUUAUUGUUUGCCUCACUUUGGAUCUUAUCACAAAAUUGUUGCAUAAAGGUUUUAGCUAGCAGCUGUGCUCUAGGCUGAUGUUCAUCAGGGCUUAAACCAAGUGAGAACUUUCACAAAGUGGGAUCAUAGACAGUUAGAACUGGAAGGGACCUUUAAGUUCAUUGAGUUUAACCCUCUCAUAUUACAUAUGAAAGAAACUGAGUCUAGCAAAUAAAUUUUCCCAAGGUUAUAAAACUUAUUAGUAUCAGGACUGACAUGAACUCAACGUUAACUUCCAGGCCAGAGAUCUGAAGUCUACUCUUGCUUCUGUGAUCUGAUCGGUGGUUUUUAAUAGAUAUGGGGCAAAAAGAUUAAGGAAGGUGGUGAUGGUGACCACCUAGGAAGAAGGUAAACCUGUUUGCAGUGAACAAGAGAAAAAAAGAUUUAUUUAUAUUAUAAUUAUGAAAUCUGACCCCUUCCAAGUAGAAAAGGAAAAUUAUUUGUCAAUGGUCACUUAGAUAUUGAGUGGCAAAAUCAGAAUUAGAACCCAAGCCUCCUAUCUUUCUAUCCUAUCCCUUUCACUAUAUGAUUCUGUUUCCAUCAAAAGUUUCACAUAAAACAUUUUCUUACAUAAUACCUUAUAAUCAUAGGUUUUGAGCCGAAAGGAACCUAAGAAGCCAGUUACCAAGCUCUUUAAUUUAUAGAUAAGGAAACUGAGCCUAGAGAAAAUGAAUCACCCAGGUAGGGUUUGAACAGAACUUUGGACUGCAAAACUACUUCUUUUCCACUACGCCAAACUGUCUCUUCAUAUGUACCAGGAAUCCUUGCUAACAAUCAUGCUUCCAUUUUUUCCCCCUGUCAUUGAAUAAGGAUAUACAUAGCUACAUAGCUACACAAUUUUUUCCUCUAAGUUUCAAAGCUAUGAGAUCGAAGACCCAGGCAGUAGGUUCACUGGAAUUCACACUUGGUUUAGAAUUGAGAAACUAAGGUUUGAGACCCAGCCUUGCCGUUUAUUGAAUGUGUGGACUCUUCUCUGGGCCUGUUUCCUGAUAUGUAAAAUAAAAGUAUUGGAGCUCUUGAAUUCUAUAGUCCUACAUUGGAUGUCUUUCUUACUAGGGUAAUCCUCCUUCCCUUUUUGAAAAGUCCACAACUCAAAAUGUCAUGUUUCUUUAAUACUUAUUUUUUUCCAUGGUGUCAAGAAACAGUGAAAUAAGGUAUUCCAUAGGAGCAUUUUUGUUCCUUGCACAUCCAGAUAGGUGCAGAAAACCCAGGAAGAAUGAAUGAUUUUUGCCAUCUUGGUCUUUCAUUACUGAUAGAUGGGUGAGUUGGCCAUUGAUGUUGCUGCCAUGGUAUUAGUGUUUUUAUUUAAAAAAGAAAUGAGGGUGAUGAAGGGGAGAGAGCUCUGAAAUUAGGUUAGCAUUAUGUCUAAAUAUUUAAGUCCAUUGGACUGAGGAUGUAAAAAUUAAGGAGUCCUGGGUCUUUCCCAAAUGGAUUAGCUUUCCAUUGCAGGUCUCCUGAAGUUUUAAGAUGAUACAUUCUGGAAAUUCCUAUGUCGGUAAUAUUUUCCUUUUCCUCUCUCCUUCCCCCCCAUCUCCUGACUUCUGAAUAAAGGGUAAUAAGAACACAAUGUAAGCAGUAAAUUGAAGUGGAGGACAAGGCGGUGUUGGGAGUGUUGGUUAAGUAAUCAAAAAGGUUGAGCAAAUAUAGACAAUCUUAAAAACAACAAUUGCAUCCAGAAGUUUGGGGGUUUGACUCAACUGCCCUUCUCAGUCCACUCUUCCACCGAUCUCUCUGGAUGACCAUCUUUCCUCUUCCUUUCCUCAACCCUUCCAGCCCAACCGUAGAGCUAAGCUGCAAAUGUCAGCAGCCCUCAGUCCUUAGCCUUGCUCCACAGCUGCCUUUAGCUCCAGGUUUGGCCUACUGAACAGGAUGAGUGGUUUCUGAUCUGGAGGCUAGUCCCCCAUGAAUUAAAUGAGAGCAAGUGAUCCCCACCAGCCUCUUAACUCAUCCCCUUUUCUUUCCCAUCUAUGUCAUGAACAUGCCCGGUGCCUUGUCCUGGGGAAGGACUUAGCCCCUUGCAGUUUCUCUUUCCUGAAUGCUGCCUGGUGCUUUUCCAGUACUGCCUUUCUUUUUGUUUUCAUUUCUUUCCUUACCAACAAACCUCGCAUUCAUUUUGUUGCUGUAUCAUUGUGGAGUAUGUAUUUAUUGUGUUUUACAUAUAUGUGUACAAAUACAAACCUAUAUAUAUAUAUAUGAAAAAUGUCAACGCAUGAACACAUGUACAGUAGAUAUUUUAAAGAGCUAUUUAUCAAAAAAGAUGUGUGUUAUAAAGUAAACAGAGUCUAUAUUUUAUAUAUGAUGUAGAUAGGAAAAAAAUAGCAUUUAAGUUAUAGAAAGAGGAACUUUUUUUUCUUUUGGUAGCAAAAAAAGGACAAUGAAUGUGGCCAUUCUUGGUGUUUUGAGUCUAUGCUCUGUGAUCCUCAUGUUUUAGCAACCAGACUGCUCAGUGAGGAAGCCUUUCUUCCCUGUCUUGUCUCUUAGGGCCACUUGCUUUUCACCUCGGAGGGGCUCUCUUAGCACUGCUCUGGGGAACAUAGUUUUCCUCACUCAGCCACCUGGUAUGUGAUGCAUAAAACAUGGUUUCCGCCUGUUCUACAUGUUUGCAUUAUGGGAUAAAGAAACUCAAAGUGGCAAAUAAAGACAUAAAAGAAGAAUGUAAUCCCAGCUGUUUUCUUUUCUUUUAUAUCGCACGCUCUUCCCCCACCAUAACUUGCCAUCUGCACUUGGGGAGAUAGAAUUCUUUUCCGGAGGCACUUGGUGAGUGGGUUACCUGGCUGGCCCAGGGCUUUUUGAUUUUCAUUUUGAGGGUAGAGAACAAGGAAUGAGAAUUAUGUGUCAGCGAUGACCAAUAGAAAGAUCAGCAUCAUGAAUCAAAUGAUCCUUAAAUUUAAGAUCACAGAACACAUUAGAUCUGCAAGUAUCUAUAAGGAGCCUGUCCCCCUCAUUUAAUAUAUGGGGAAACUGAGCAAAAACAAAGCAAAAAGACCUACUUGAGGUCCUAUGGGUAGUUUGCAAAGUUAGAUCUGAACAAAUCUUCCCUCUCUAAUUCCAGUCCUCCUCCCACUAUACAAUUGCCUCUUUGCUUUCUUAUGAUGCUAUACACAUGAUAAUUGUUUCAAGGUUAUUUAUCACUUGUCAGAGGCUGGUCUGUUUUGAAUCAAGACCUUUGGAAUAAAGUUGAACAGGUCAGUUCAAAAAUGUUUUUAGGAAGUAUCUGGACUUCCUUUGAGAACCCCUGAGAGCUGGGUUAACUGUCCUUCCUAAGUAUACAGAUUUCUAUUUAGCCAACUGAGGUGUGGAUUAAUCUGGAAAACUUCUAGGUCAUCCUAAUGGUGAUAGCUUUAAAAAGGAGUCUCCAAAUAGUCCCUACUUCUCCAGACACUUUCAGUAUAACCCAGAGCUAUCUACUCAGUUAAUAACUCAACAUCGAAUUUGUGGCUGACACUGAAUCAAUCUACAACUGUUAGAGGAAAAAUUCAUUUAACUGGCUAAAUUUUCUGGUAAAAAGGUAAGAAAUUAGUAGUACAGAGUUUUGCAUGAGGAGUACAUUCUGAAAUUCUAUCUGAUAAUAGAAACUCAAUCAGUCACUAAUACGUGAAAGAUAAUUUUUUUUAAAAAGUUAAUUUUUCCAAUUAACAAGUUUAUUUUCUCUCCUAUAUCCUCACCUGCAAUGAACAAUAAAAAAGAAAAAGACCUCAUAACAAAUAUGCAGAGUCAAGCAAAAGAAAUUCUCACAUUGGUCAUAUCCAAAAACUAGUAGCAGGCUGCAUUUUCAGAUCUCUUGAAUCAUGAUAUAUCACUGAAUUGUUCACGUUUCUAAAUCUUCAAACCUGGUUUUCUUCUGGUUUUGCUAUUGUACAGUUUUUUCUUUUAGUUCUGCUCAUAUUGCUCUAUGUCAGUUCAUGAAAGUUUUCUUGAUUUCUCUUAAAAUUAUCCAUUUCAUCAUGUCUUAGAAUUUUAGGAUUGUAUGACAUGGAAGACACUGGUACAGGACCUCCCAGCAUAAUGUACUCUUCUUAGAGAAGGUACUAUAUUCUAUGAGCAAAGCAAAAUUGAAUUAACUCAGAAGUGAGAUAUGCAAAAUAGAGAAGCCCCCCCAAAUGUUUAUAGGAAUUAUUUGUGUCUGGCCUGUAGCAGAGUAUUCUGAGUUCAUAUUGGUCUGAUCAGCUCCAGUUGGAUGCACUGUAACUUAACCCUAACAUAAUGAUGCCAUUUUGAUCCUCUUGGACAACAAAGGGCAACAAUGGAUCAAUACUAUUCCCUCAUAUUCACAUAAUGUAAUUUGGUUAGCUACUUCCCAAUAGGUGAGCAACCACUUAGUUUCCAGGUUUUUUUUUUUUUUUUGCUAUUAUGAAAAGAGCUCCUUUUCCUUUGAUCUUUUUGGGGUCAUGAAAAAAUUUGUAGCAUCAUAGCAUCCUAAAGUUUUUUAAAAGCACUUUUGUCUUUCCCUAAAUAUAUUACAGUGAAGGAAAUCUGAUUAAAAAUGUAACAUUUGUCCAUGGAUAGAAUUCUAGAGUUAUCCUUAAGAAAAUGAAAUUCAAAUUUACACUAAAUGGGCCUUCUAUAUAUUUCUUUUGGCAAUGACAUGAAUAAUAUAAGGAACAUAAGAACAUUAAAAAAAGAUCUCUCUACUAUUAAAUGCUAGAUCUCAAAUUGUUAUUUACCUCAAGCUGUUAAAAAAAAAAAAAAAAAAAGAGGUUACCAAAGUGCUAUACCUAUGUUGCAUGAGUAUCUGGCAUUAAUGCAACUCCUGUCUAAAUUUGCAUCAAAACCAGUCAUGCAUAUGGCCUUAAAUCACCCUUUUCCUUCUAGAGUAAAUUUAAACAAGGUCAGCUAAGAAAAGACUUUUGAUCUUUUUCUGGGUCUUAUUCAAUAUCUAAAAAUAAAAUGGUUGGGCAAAGUAAAUUUUGAGGUCCCUCUCAAUUCUAAAUAUAUGACUGGUUUAAUUAUGUUUUUUUUGUUGUUGUUUUGUUUUUGUUUUUGACAAAUCUUCUACAGGGGACCCUCCCAAGAUAUAUAAACCUUCCUCUGCUUUCAGGAGUGUGUGUGUGUGUGUGUGUGUGUGUGUGUAUCUUCCAAUGAUGCAAGCUGUCUAUCUUGCUUUCUCUUGUUCUCAAUACAUAAUGAGUACAUUAUACAUCAUGAUCAUAUUAUCCAUCUUUAUGUGUUUUAUGAUACUACUCCAUGUAACAGGAUAUAAUUUAGCUGAUGUAUUUUUCUCUCUGAUUAUAAUAGGGACUGACACACAACUAAAGGCUGAUAUUUCUGAUAAAUUUCAGUUUACAGAGAACUCUUUAUGUUUAUUAAAACAACAACAAUACUUUACUCUCUGUCCUUUAGCUGUGAGGAACCCUGUUCCAUAUUCUCAUACACUCCUAUAACAUUCACAGAGACACAGGGGAAUGUUUGAGUUCUCUCUGAUCUGGUAGAUUUAUCGAUCUUGAGUUCUUUAUCCUACGGACACCUGUACAAAGCAUUGUAAAACCAUAAAACUCUACAUCAUUAACUGUCAUUUCCUCCCCUUUCUUUGUAAACCAGGUAUAAUCACAGCUACUAUUAAUUCACAGGCAUGCUGUGAAAAAUGUAUUAUAAAAAGUAUUAGAGCUUUUGAUUUAAGAAUAAUGGAUAUGCUCAUACUUAAUGUUGUCUGCCCAAAUGCGAGAAAAUAGCUUUAAUGUCUGUACAUUGUUUCCAUCCCUUAGGAUGCACCUCCUUUCUAUUCAUAUAGCCAUAAUUCUAAUCCAAGACUUUACCACCUCUUUUUACCAGGUCUGGUAAGGUCCUGGAUUAGCAAUUAAUUUAUCUUCCUGUUUCAAGUGUCUGCUCAUUCCAAUCCAUCCUCACUCAGCUUCCAAGCAUUAGUUUGUCCAUUUAACCUCCUUGCUAUAUGAGCUCCAAUAAUUCUAUUACCUCUAAUAUCAAAAUAGUCUUGUAUAUGGCAUUUAAAGCUCUUUGUCACCUGCCCCCUUUCUCUCCUUCCAGUCUUCUUCACUUGACUCCCUUCAGUCCUACAGUGGUCUGCCUCUGACCGUCUCCCUGUGCCUGAAAUGCUCUUUCACCUCACGUCCAUUUCUUCAUUUCUCUGUUCCAAGACUCAUUUCAAGUCUCCCACACUAAUAGUGCCUUUUAUCUGAGAUUAUUCUCCUUUUGAAAUUCUUACAUGUUGUCUUCCCUUUUGGAAUGUAAGGUCCUUGAGAGCAGGAACUAGAGGUAUGGGUUUUUUUGUUUGUUUGUUUAUCUGGUUUUUUCCCCCUUUCUUUUUCCCUGUAUGUGUGCUUAACACAGUGCCUGGCACAUAUUAACUCCUUAAGAAGUGCUUGUUGAUUGAUUGAUCCCCCAAAACUUUCAGCAUGUGCUUUUUCUAAUUCAUCCUAUAUUUUAUUCUCUUUUCCAGUGCUUCUGAUAAGUUUGGGGUUGCAAUAACCUAGUUUGAAAUAAACAUGUGAGAAAUUCACAAUAGUCAUUCUCUUUGUCAAAGGAUAGUUUUAUUUAGGACAAGAAGUUACAGACAAAAUAUGAGGUAAAAUAGGUACCAGAAGUGGCAAAUAUGAAAUAGAGUUGGGAGAGCAUAUAGUUAGCAAGGAAAAGACAAGUUCCCUUGGGCAACUCACAAUUAACCAGGAGAAAAGAAAUACUCCAUAAGGUAAGAGUAAGCCAUUGACCAACAGAUUAGAUCCAUAGAGAAGUUUAGCAGACUAAUCAGAAUUAUCUAGAAUGAGGAGAAAGGCAACAUUAAAGAGAAAGGACUAUGGGAAAGAGAAAGAGAAUACCUUAUAGUGGGCCUAGUGCUGAAAAGAACUUAGCAAAGAUCAUCAUGAAUAGAUCUUUUAUAGGGAAAAUACAAUAUUGGGGUUUCUCAGGAAAACCAGGGAAGUAAAGAUGGGAACUAAAAGGGAGGAUCAAAGAAGAACCAGAUGGAAUACCUGGCAAACCAAGUCCCAGACCUCUCCAAAGAUAUGCUAAUUAAUAUCUCAAAAGGUUGUUCAAAGAUAACAGAGGUUGGGGGAUGGACAAUGGAGAUUGAUAAAGUGUUUCUUACAAUCACUCUAUAUAAACAGAAUAUUAUAGGAAUUGGUCAUAGCUGAUAAUAGCAAAUAGAUUUGGACUUUUUCUUGACAAGGGAAGAAAUUAAAUGCACAUCACUGCCUCUGUCAGUUCUAUUUCAUGUUAGGAUAUCUCAAUGUGGAAAAAAUGACUUCCCUGAUUUUACUGAAAUGUGUCUGUCAUUGACAUUAGUGGUAGUUACAAGGAUGAACUAUGUGUCUGUAAGGUAAUUUUUGCUUGAGUAGGUGAAAUUAAGUCCUCAAUAAAACAAUGAUAAGGUUUUCUACUUUAUUUGCUCAAUCUAUUAGCUCUGUUAUAACCUGAGUAGAAAAAAUUGAUCUUUAUUGACCUCAUGUUAUAGCCCCUUCUCCCAGGUAACAGCUGCAAUGGAGUGCCUUCGUGUAGGCGAUGGGCUCACUAGAGGCUCCAGUCCUUCUAGACUGAAGAGAUGAAGAAGAUUUACUGUCUCAUAGAGUUCAAGUCAGGUUAUGAUCAAGGCCCAGAUAGCACCAGAUUUUAUCUGAGCCAAAACCACAAGCUAAAAAAUAAAAACCAAUUGAUGCUAAUUGAAAGUUCUCAAAUGCUGAAUACAAAUAAAUCAGGCUUUCGCUAGAACUUCAUCUUUCAUUCUUGGUCUGUCAAUGAAGAUCAAGCCUGAUUAACAGGGGGACUAUUCAAUUCAAAUCACUUAACAUUGAUGAAAUGCCUACUGUAUACAGAGCACUGAAUAGAGUGAAGAGAGAAUAGUCCAGUUUUACUGGAUCAUAGAAUGCAUAUAGGGGAGGGGUAUGGGCUAAAUCUGGAAAAGUGGUAUUUCUAUUAAGUGAAGAUCCUUACAAGCCAGAUAGAGGAGUUUUAAUUUUACCUAGCAGGCAGUAAAGAUCUGUGAACAGAGGAAUUAUGUGACUAAAUCUAUGCAUAAAGAAGAUGCCUGGUUAUGGUGGCAGUAAAUAGUCAUAAAUGUUAUAAUAAAUGUUAAUCAAAAAUAAAAAUAAUAAAAAGAGGCAAAAGACAAUUCCUGCCCAUGUGGAGCUUACAAUCUCAUGGAGGAGACAACAAACAAACUUAGACAAAGCAAGCUUUAUGUAGAUUAAAUAGGAAAUAAUUAACAGAGGGAAAGUACUAAAAUCAGGAGAGAUUAGAAAAUAGUUCUGCUAAAAAAAUGAGAUAGUAAUUGGAACUUAAAGGAAGCCAGAGGUCACUAGUCAGGAGAGAAAAAGGAAGGCAUUCAAGGCAUGAGGAAUGGUCAGAAAAAAAUGCCCCAAAUUGAGAGAUGGAGAGUGUUGCUCAUGGAGCAAUCAGGAGACCAGUGUCAUUGGAGGGAAGGCUCCAUGAGCAAAAUUGCAUGGUUGUCUGUUCAUAAUGGCUAUGGUUCUGAGAUGUGUAUGACUGUAAGAACUUAAGUAGUUCUCAUAUCUCAUAUUGUUUCAUGGGAAUGUGCUGUCUUCCCAAACAGAAUCAUAGAAUUAGAGGAGAAAGAACCUUGGGGGUCAUUGAAUUCAACUUUUUCUCUUUAUGGGUGAGAAAAUUGAGGCCCAAAUAGGUUAAGUGAUUUGAUCAAAGUGACACAGAAAGUAUUUGUUGGCUGGAUUCCUUUGGGCAGCUGCGUCAUCAGUACUAAUGGUCUCAGAAGUCUAGCUAAUAUUCAAAUCAGACUAAAUUCUUUGGGCAGCUCACUAGGAACUACACAGAUUGCUCCAGUAGGUUCAAGGCCUAUGACCAAAUGAGGCAGAAGUUUUGUGAAGACUGCAACAUAUGGAAAAAAAACCUAGAACUCAUUUACUCUCCAUAGGACUCUUGGGCAUGGCUUCCAGAGGUGGAAAUCUCUGGUACUUCCAUUGUAGAAUAAUACUAAGGGAAUGAGAGAAAGGAAGCCUCAGAUUAGAAAGUCCUAGCUGAAGCCAGGAAAAAUAUCCUGGUAUAAAAUAGAAUUUCUUAAACUUUUUCUAAUGUCAAUCCUUCUUCACCUAGAAAUUUUUACAAUUCCCCAUCUUGAAUCUGAUGUGAAAUGUGUCUGGAAGCAUUUGUGCAUGCACAGUGCAAAAUGCUUAUGUUGUGUGUUCAGAACCAAAGCUGUAGUAAAGUCAGAUAAUGUACCAUGGCAAGCAAUACCAGAAACACUUUGGAUUUUAUAUUUGAUUUUGAAUUAAUUUUUGGUCAAAAUGAUUUCAGAUUUUCCAGAUCUUCACAUUCAGUUACAUACCCCUAUAUAGGAUCAUGAUCCUCAGUUGGAGAAACUUUGGUACACAGGAAAGAUUAUUGGUUGACUAUCUGGACACCUGGUUUUAAAUUCCAGCUCUGCCAUUUACUAGCUAUGUGAAUAUAGGCAAAUUUGUUGUUGUUUUUUCUAUAUCUCUGCUCAUAUGCCUGUGAAAUGGAGGGAAAGAAUACCUGCACUUCCUGUCAUAUAAGAUUGCUAGGAAAAUAAUUCUUAAAAACUUAAAAUGCUUUAGGAAUGUUAAUUUAAAAAAAAAAGAUAUUUCUGCAAAUACAAUACCAGGACUUAAAAAAACUAUUCAAGUUACUAUAUAAAUGGUCAGUAGUUGCCUUGUGGGUUUUUU